rnacentral:tRNA from 1 species
CAGUAAGUAGUUUAUUUAAAAUAUUAAUUUUGGGGAUUAAUGAUGUGUUUUUACUCUUUGCUGA